AUUCAUUACCUACAGUUUUUAAAUAAUUCGAGGGCACUCAACAAUUUUCAGAUAGUAAGUUAUGAGAGGAAGAUAUAAAUGACCGCAAUGUCUAGACUCGAGUUGAUUUUCCAGACGAUAAUAGAUAGCAUCAUUAAAAAAUGAACAGUGUGAAUUGCGGAAACGUAUGGCCCAGAAUAUAAAGAACUGAUGGCAAUCUAAUGACUUGAAGAAACCUGACCACGAAAAUUAAUGGAGUUGGAGGCAGUACAUUGAGACAGUGCUUCUUCUGAUAAGACUCUGGUAACUCAUGAGUAGCUUCGACUAUCUUAAUACCUUCAUUGAAUGAAAAAAAAAAUAGUGUCAAAUAUACUUAGUU